GGUGGUGGUAGCCCAGUGGUUAACACAUCGGACCUCUGAUUGGAAGGUCAUGAUUUCAAACCCCAGCCUCACCA